rnacentral:rRNA from 1 species
UACAGAGGGGGCAAGCGUUAUUCGGAAUUAUUGGGCGUAAAGAGCGUGUAGGCGGCUAGGUAGGUCCGUUGUGAAAACUCGAGGCUCAACCUCGAGAUGUCGGCGGAAACCAUCUGGCUAGAGUCCGGAAGAGGAGAGUGGAAUUCCUGGUGUAGCGGUGAAAUGCGCAGAUAUCAGGAAGAACACCCGUGGCGAAGGCGGCUCUCUGGGACGGUACUGACGCUGAGACGCGAAAGCGUGGGGAGCGAACAGG